rnacentral:tRNA from 1 species
UUGGUUCAGUGGUAGAAUGCUCGCCUGCCACGCGGGCGCCCCGGGUUCGAUUCCUGGCCCAU